AACGAACGCUGGCGGCAGGCUUAACACAUGCAAGUCGAGCGCCCCGCAAGGGGAGCGGCAGACGGGUGAGUAACGCGUGGGAACGUACCUUUUGGUUCGGAACAACUCCGGGAAACUGGAGCUAAUACCGGAUAAGCCCUAACGGGGAAAGAUUUAUCGCCGAACGAUCGGCCCGCGUCUGAUUAGCUAGUUGGUGAGGUAACGGCUCACCAAGGCGACGAUCAGUAGCUGGUCUGAGAGGAUGAUCAGCCACACUGGGACUGAGACACGGCCCAGACUCCUACGGGAGGCAGCAGUGGGGAAUAUUGGACAAGGGGCGCAAGCCUGAUCCAGCCAUGCCGCGGGAGUGAUGAAGGCCUUAGGGUUGUAAAGCUCUUUUGUCCGGGAAGAUAAUGACUGUACCGGAAGAAUAAGCCCCGGCUAGCUUCGUG
rnacentral:rRNA from 1 species